UUGAACGCUGGCGGCAGGCCUAACACAUGCAAGUCGAGCGGUAGCACAGAGAGCUUGCUCUCGGGUGACGAGCGGCGGACGGGUGAGUAAUGUCUGGGAAACUGCCUGAUGGAGGGGGAUAACUACUGGAAACGGUAGCUAAUACCGCAUAAUGUCGCAAGACCAAAGUGGGGGACCUUCGGGCCUCAUGCCAUCAGAUGUGCCCAGAUGGGAUUAGCUAGUAGGUGGGGUAACGGCUCACCUAGGCGACGAUCCCUAGCUGGUCUGAGAGGAUGACCAGCCACACUGGAACUGAGACACGGUCCAGACUCCUACGGGAGGCAGCAGUGGGGAAUAUUGCACAAUGGGCGCAAGCCUGAUGCAGCCAUGCCGCGUGUGUGAAGAAGGCCUUCGGGUUGUAAAGCACUUUCAGCGGGGAGGAAGGCGUUAAGGUUAAUAACCUUGGCGAUUGACGUUACCCGCAGAAGAAGCACCGGCUAACUCCGUGCCAGCAGCCGCGGUAAUACGGAGGGUGCAAGCGUUAAUCGGAAUUACUGGGCGUAAAGCGCACGCAGGCGGUCUGUCAAGUCGGAUGUGAAAUCCCCGGGCUCAACCUGGGAACUGCAUUCGAAACUGGCAGGCUAGAGUCUUGUAGAGGGGGGUAGAAUUCCAGGUGUAGCGGUGAAAUGCGUAGAGAUCUGGAGGAAUACCGGUGGCGAAGGCGGCCCCCUGGACGAAGACUGACGCUCAGGUGCGAAAGCGUGGGGAGCAAACAGGAUUAGAUACCCUGGUAGUCCACGCCGUAAACGAUGUCGACUUGGAGGUUGUGCCCUUGAGGCGUGGCUUCCGGAGCUAACGCGUUAAAUCGACCGCCUGGGGAGUACGGCCGCAAGGUUAAAACUCAAAUGAAUUGACGGGGGCCCGCACAAGCGGUGGAGCAUGUGGUUUAAUUCGAUGCAACGCGAAGAACCUUACCUGGUCUUGACAUCCACAGAACUUUCCAGAGAUGGAUUGGUGCCUUCGGGAACUGUGAGACAGGUGCUGCAUGGCUGUCGUCAGCUCGUGUUGUGAAAUGUUGGGUUAAGUCCCGCAACGAGCGCAACCCUUAUCCUUUGUUGCCAGCGGUUCGGCCGGGAACUCAAAGGAGACUGCCAGUGAUAAACUGGAGGAAGGUGGGGAUGACGUCAAGUCAUCAUGGCCCUUACGACCAGGGCUACACACGUGCUACAAUGGCAUAUACAAAGAGAAGCGACCUCGCGAGAGCAAGCGGACCUCAUAAAGUAUGUCGUAGUCCGGAUUGGAGUCUGCAACUCGACUCCAUGAAGUCGGAAUCGCUAGUAAUCGUAGAUCAGAAUGCUACGGUGAAUACGUUCCCGGGCCUUGUACACACCGCCCGUCACACCAUGGGAGUGGGUUGCAAAAGAAGUAGGUAGCUUAACCUUCGGGAGGGCGCUUACCACUUUGUGAUUCAUGACUGGGGUG
rnacentral:rRNA from 1 species